rnacentral:rRNA from 1 species
UACGUGGGGUGCGAGCGUUGUUCGGAAUUACUGGGCGUAAAGCGCGUGUAGGCGGCCUAUUAUGUCAGGUGUGAAAGCCCUCGGCCUAACCGAGGAAGUGCGCCUGAAACUGCUAGGCUUGAGUACGAGAGAGGAGGACGGAAUUCCCAGUGUAGAGGUGAAAUUCGUAGAUAUUGGGAGGAACACCGGCGGCGAAAGCGGUUCUCUGGAUCGAUACUGACGCUAAGACGCGAAAGCGUGGGGAGCAAACAGG